GCUGCUGGGUAAUUGUUGGAGACACUUUUUAAAUCACACUGGGGAGUCUAUAUGAAACAAACUAGAAGAAAAUCAAAUGUCAACUAACAGAUCCUUGCCAAUCCACAACUACAGCCAGAGGGCAGCUGUGCAAUCCAGAACAAGAUACUGACAGGAAACAACUGGCUGAGAACUUAUGAGGAAUGGGCAGCUUUGUACCAGGGAUCUGGGGCUGUUUGAAUUCAGCUGACCUUCACAAAUUCAGUGCCUUGGUCAUAGCUAAGCUUGCAAGGAUUCAAUUUCCACUGGAAAAUGUCAAUACAUGUUGAUUUCACCAUGCACACAGAAACUGCUGGGGAAAUAUGUCCCCUGAUAAUCAUCAAAAGGUGCAGAUAGGCAACGUAAGAAAAAUGCUCCUUAAGAAAUUAUGAGAGUUGGAUUUAAGGAUAUUUUCUAUAUUUUGAUAUGUGAUGCUGACAAAUGUAUUCACAAUCAUAAAGCUUUGACUUUUUGAA